rnacentral:lncRNA from 1 species
GAACCAGGACAUAACCAGGUAGGAACCAGAACAUAACCAGGUAGGAACCAGGACAUAACCAGGUAGGAUCCAGGACAUAACCAGGUAGGAACCAGGACAUAACCAGGUAGGAACCAGGACAUAACCAGGUAUGGUAGGAACCAGGACAUAACCAGGUAGGACACAGAACAUAACCAGGUAUGGUAGGAACCAGAACAUAACCAGGUAUGGUAGGAACCAGGACAUAACCAGGUAGGAACCAGGACAUAACCAGGUAGGAACCAGGACAUAACCAGGUAGGAACCAGGACAUAACCAGGUAGGAACCA